rnacentral:rRNA from 1 species
CCUACGGGAGGCAGCAGUGGGGGAUAUUGCACAAUGGGGGCAACCCUGACCCAGCAACGCCGCGUGAACGAAGAAGGCUUUCGGGUUGUAAACUUCUAUCGGCAGGGAAGAGUAGAAGACGGUACCUGUCGAAUAAGCCACGGCUAACUACGUGCCAGCAGCCGCGGUAAUACGUAGGGGGCAAGCGUUGUCCGGAUUUACUGGGUGUAAAGGGCGUGUAGCCGGGUCGACAAGUCAGAUGUGAAAUCCUGCGGCUUAACCGCAGAACUGCAUUGGAAACUAUUGAGCUUGAGUGCUGGAGAGGCAGACGGAAUUCCUAGUGUAGCGGUGAAAUGCGUAGAUAUUAGGAGGAACACCAGUGGCGAAGGCGGUCUGCUGGACAGCAACUGACGGUGAGGCGCGAAAGCGUGGGGAGCAAACAGGAUUAGAUACCCGAGUAGUC